rnacentral:rRNA from 1 species
GAUGAACGCUAGCGGCAGGCCUAACACAUGCAAGUCGAGGGGUAGCAGGAUUAAGCUUGCUUAAUUGCUGACGACCGGCGCACGGGUGCGUAACGCGUAUGCAACCUACCUUAUACUGGGGUAUAGCCCGGAGAAAUUCGGAUUAAUCCCCCAUAGUACUAAUGAAUCGCAUGGUUUAUUAGUUAAAGCAUUGCGGUAUAAGAUGGGCAUGCGUCCUAUUAGCUAGAUGGUGAGGUAACGGCUCACCAUGGCUACGAUAGGUAGGGGGCCUGAGAGGGUGGUCCCCCACACUGGUACUGAGACACGGACCAGACUCCUACGGGAGGCAGCAGUGAGGAAUAUUGGUCAAUGGGCGCAAGCCUGAACCAGCCAUGCCGCGUGCAGGAAGAAUGCCCUAUGGGUUGUAAGCUGCUUUUAUUUGGGAAUAAACCUCUUUACGUGUAGAGGGCUGAAGGUACCAAAUGAAUAAGCACCGGCUAACUCUGUGCCAGCAGCCGCAGUAA